rnacentral:rRNA from 1 species
GAUGAACGCUGGCGGCGUGCCUAAUACAUGCAAGUCGAGCGAACGGACGAGAAGCUUGCUUCUCUGAUGUUAGCGGCGGACGUGUGAGUAACACGUGGAUAACCUACCUAUAAGACUGGGAUAACUUCGGGAAACCGUAGCUAAUACCGGAUAAUAUUUUGAACCGCAUGGUUCAAAAGUGAAAGACGGUCUUGCUGUCACUUAUAGAUGGAUCCGCGCUGCAUUAGCUAGUUGGUAAGGUAACGGCUUACCAAGGCAACGAUGCAUAGCCGACCUGAGAGGGGGAUCGGCCACACUGGAACUGAGACACGGUCCAGACUCCUACGGGAGGCAGCAGUAGGGAAUCUUCCGCAAUGGGCGAAAGCCUGACGGAGCAACGCCGCGUGAGUGAUGAAGGUCUUCGGAUCGUAAAACUCUGUUAUUAGGGAAGAACAUAUGUGUAAGUAACUGUGCACAUCUUGACGGUACCUAAUCAGAAAGCCACGGCUAACUACGUG